CCCCUUUCAAAAUAAGCAUUUUCUAUGCAGCGGUGAUCAAUUUCACUAACUACCUGUUACAUAUCUAAACCAACUGUCUAUCUGAAACUCCCAAUGUCUAAACAGCAUCAAAAUUCCUAGUGGCAAGUAGUCAAGACAACACUGGCAAGGUGUAAGGAAAUAGGUGUAGGAGAUUUUUAAGUUUCUAAUGUGCUUUUCCCAUCAACUUGCAUGGAACCACACCUAAGGAAAAUCCUGAACAUCAUUUGGCAGCAGUACUGCGUGGCAUUUGGAUGCACUGUACCUCUGACACACCAGCAUCAUCACGGCCAAGGAAAGCAUCGACUGACCAAAGAAUAAGCCCCGGAGAAAGCUGUGUGAAGGGAACCACGCUGCACCACUCUGCUCACCUGUCGUCGUUUUGCCAUCCUUGGUCCCCUAGCAGCAGAUCUCGAAACCUGUACCUGGGAGGCAGAGGGGGCACUUCGCUCUCCAAAUCAACCAUCCUUCCUCAGAAGAGUGGGAAACAUCAAACAACGGAUGGAGGGCGGGAGGCAGCAGGCAGGGACCCGCCGCGGAGCCCGGGGGCCGGGGAGGGGCCGGCAGGGCGGGGGUCGCUGAGGCCGGAAGCCGAGCUGGGAGCAGGGCGGGCGCCGCUCUCCCUAGGGUGUGAUGGGGAUGAUGCAAACCCAGCCCAGGACCCAAAGUCUGGCUCAGACUCCAAUCAGCGCUGCCAAGGAACCGCCCCCAGGCUCGGCGCCGCCUCUGGUGCCCAGGACGGGGGAGGCGGGAAGGCAAAAGUUACUUCGCCCCGGAGGGGAACCAAAUGCGCGGGGCCCAGGAAGAGGGGCGAGGGGCAGCGGCGCACGACGUGAGGCGCCGUCCUAACCGCCCGCGGAAAGACGCCCCCUCCAGGACGUCCUCGGCGCGCAGGGACGCAGCCCAGGCCGGCGGAGGCGCUCCGGGGGCUCCGGCCCCGGCUCGCCCAAGCCCGCUCCCCGCACACAGGCCCUCCCGAGCUGUUGCCCGAGGCCCAGCCAAUGAGCCUCGCCUUCAUUAGCAUACGAGUGACGGCAUGGGGGUGCCUUGGGGACAGCCAAUGGGGGCGAGCUCAUUAGCGGAUUCA
rnacentral:lncRNA from 1 species